UACAGAGGUCUCAACCGUUGUUCGGAUUCAUUGGGCGUAAAGGGUGCGUAGGCGGCGCGGUAAGUCGGGUGUGAAAUCUUGGAGCUUAACUCCGAAACUGCAUUCGAUACUGCCGUGCUUGAGGACUGGAGAGGAGACUGGAAUUUACGGUGUAGCGGUGAAAUGCGUAGAUAUCGUAAGGAAGACCAGUGGCGAAGGCGGGUCUCUGGACAGUUCCUGACGCUGAGGCACGAAGGCCAGGGGAGCAAACAGG
rnacentral:rRNA from 1 species